rnacentral:rRNA from 1 species
UCCUACGGGAGGCAGCAGUGGGGAAUAUUGCACAAUGGGCGCAAGCCUGAUGCAGCAACGCCGCGUGAGGGACGACGGCCUUCGGGUUGUAAACCUCUUUUAGUAGGGAAGAAGCGAAAGUGACGGUACCUGCAGAAAAAGCACCGGCUAACUACGUGCCAGCAGCCGCGGUAAU